rnacentral:rRNA from 1 species
CCUACGGGUGGCAGCAGUGAGGAAUAUUGGUCAAUGGACGAGAGUCUGAACCAGCCAAGUAGCGUGAAGGAUGACUGCCCUAUUGGUUGUAAACUUCUUUUAUAAAGGAAUAAAACGAGGCACGUGUGCCUUUUUGCAUGUACUUUAUGAAUAAGGAUCGGCUAACUCCGUGCCAGCAGCCGCGGUAAUACGGAGGAUCCGAGCGUUAUCCGGAUUUAUUGGGUGUAAAGGGAGCGUAGAUGGGUUGUUAAGUCAGUUGUGAAAGUUUGCGGCUCAACCGUAAAAUUGCAAUUGAUACUGGCAGUCGUGAGUACAGUUGAGGUAGGCAGAAUUCGUGGUGUAGCGGUGAAAUGCUUAGAUAUCACGAAGAACCCCGAUUGCGAAGGCAGCUUACUAAACUGUGACUGACACUGAUGCGCGAAAGUGUGGGUAUCAAACAGGAUUAGAUACCCGAGUAGUC